AGUGAACGCUGGCGGCGUGCCUAAUACAUGCAAGUCGAACGGAGUGGCGCACGGGUGAGUAAUAUAUAGCUAAUCUGCCCCUUGCUGGAGGACAACAGUUAGAAAUGACUGCUAAUACUCCAUAGCAAGGGAUGAGACUAUAUCGUAUCAGCUAGUCGGUGGGGUAACGGCCUACCGCGGCGAUGACGCGUAACUGGUCUGAGAGGAUGAUCAGCAAAAUUAGAACUGAGACACGGUCGAGACUCAUACGAGAAGCAGCAGUAGGGAAUAUUGCGCAAUGGGGGAGACCCUGACGCAGCAACGACGCGUGGAGGAGGACACUUUUCGGGGCGUAAACUCCUUUUGUUAGGGGAGCGGUACCUAACGAAUAAGCACCGGCUAACUCCGUGCCAGCCGCCGCGGUAAUAC
rnacentral:rRNA from 1 species